rnacentral:misc_RNA from 1 species
CAGAGUUAUCUAACUCCCAAACCCAUGUGAACUUACCAUUUGUUGCCUCGGCAGAGCCUACCCGGUAACUGUUCGGAGAAGCUACCCUGUAGCUACCCUGUAACGGCCUACCCUGUAACGUCCUGCCGGUGGACCUUUAAACUCUUGUUAUUUUAUAGUAAUCUGAGCGUCUUAUUUUAAUAAGUCA